CGGGUGAGUAAUGUCUGGGAAACUGCCCGAUGGAGGGGGAUAACUACUGGAAACGGUAGCUAAUACCGCAUAACGUCGCAAGACCAAAGAGGGGGACCUUCGGGCCUCUUGCCAUCGGAUGUGCCCAGAUGGGAUUAGCUAGUAGGUGGGAUAAUGGCUCACCUAGGCGACGAUCCCUAGCUGGUCUGAGAGGAUGACCAGCCACACUGGGACUGAGACACGGCCCAG
rnacentral:rRNA from 1 species